rnacentral:rRNA from 1 species
UGCCGUGACCCUCCCGUUCGGUGCGUGGCGGGAUUAAGUGGC